AGGGUCGUGGCGCAAAGGUAGCGCGUCCGCCUCCUACUUCGGAUCUCUUCACAGGGACCGAUGGGCAGCGGAAGGCUGCAGGUUCGAGUCCUGCCGUCCCUG
rfam:Magnaporthe oryzae 70-15 chromosome 4, whole genome shotgun sequence.